rnacentral:rRNA from 1 species
CAAUAGCGUAUAUUAAAGUUGUUGCGGUUAAAAGCUCGUAGUUGGAUUUCUGCUGAGGACGACCGGUCCGCCCUCUGGUGAGUAUCUGCUCGGCCUUGGCAUCUUCUUGGGAACGGUAACUGCACUUGACUGUGUGGUGCGGUAUCCAGGACUUUUACUUUGAGGAAAUUAGAGUGUUUCAAGCAGGCGCACGCCUUGAAUACAUUAGCAUGGAAUAAUAAGAUAGGACCUUGGUUCUAUUUUGUUGGUUUCUAGAUCUGAAGUAAUGAUUGAUAGGGAUAGUUGGGGGUGCUAGUAUUAAGGGCCAGAGGUGAAAUUCUUGGAUUCUCUUAAGACUAACUUAUGCGAAAGCAUUCACCAAGGAUGUCUUCUUUAAU